GACGAACGCUGGCGGCGUGCCUAAUACAUGCAAGUGGGACGCAAGGGAACACACUGUGCUUGCACACCGUGUUUUCUUGAGUCGCGAACGGGUGAGUAACGCGUAGGUAACCUGCCUAUUAGCGGGGGAUAACUAUUGGAAACGAUAGCUAAUACCGCAUACUAUUAAUUAUUGCAUGAUAAUUGAUUGAAAGAUGCAAGCGCAUCACUAGUAGAUGGACCUGCGUUGUAUUAGCUAGUUGGUAAGGUAAGAGCUUACCAAGGCGACGAUACAUAGCCGACCUGAGAGGGUGAUCGGCCACACUGGGACUGAGACACGGCCCAGACUCCUACGGGAGGCAGCAGUAGGGAAUUUUCGGCA
rnacentral:rRNA from 1 species